rnacentral:rRNA from 1 species
GGUUCCCUACGGUUACCUUGUUACGACUUCACCCCAGUCGCUGACCCUACCGUGGUUAGCUGCCUCCUUGCGGUUAGCGCACUACCUUCGGGUAAAACCAACUCCCAUGGUGUGACGGGCGGUGUGUACAAGGCCCGGGAACGUAUUCACCGCAGCAUGCUGAUCUGCGAUUACUAGCGAUUCCAACUUCAUGCACUCGAGUUGCAGAGUGCAAUCCGAACUGAGAUGGCUUUUGGAGAUUAGCUCGACAUCGCUGUCUCGCUGCCCACUGUCACCACCAUU